GCGGUUGUGGCGAAAUUGGCAGACGCACUAGGUUCAGGUCUUAGUGAGGAAACUCGUGGGGGUUCGAGUCCCUUCAACCGCACCA
rnacentral:tRNA from 1 species